rnacentral:rRNA from 1 species
AUUGAACGCUGGCGGCAUGCUUUACACAUGCAAGUCGAACGGUAACAGGGACUUCGGUCUGCUGACGAGUGGCGAACGGGUGAGUAACAUAUCGGAACGUGCCCAGUAAUGGGGGAUAGCUCGGCGAAAAGCCGGAUUAAUACCGCAUACGCCCUGAGGGGGAAAUGGGGGAUCUUCGGACCUCACGUUAUUGGAGCGGCCGAUAUCAGAUUAGCUAGUUGGUGGGGUAAAGGCCUACCAAGGCGACGAUCUGUAGCUGGUCUGAGAGGAUGAUCAGCCACACUGGGACUGAGACACGGCCCAGACUCCUACGGGAGGCAGCAGUGGGGAAUUUUGGACAAUGGGCGAAAGCCUGAUCCAGCCAUGCCGCGUGAGUGAAGAAGGCCUUGGUGUAAGNACUGUCGAUAGAACGAGCCGGA